rnacentral:miRNA from 1 species
CGGGCGUGGUUGUAGGCG